rnacentral:rRNA from 1 species
GUUCCAGCCGCCGCGGUAAUACCGGCAGCCCGAGUGAUGGCCGAUAUUAUUGGGCCUAAAGCGUCCGUAGCUGGCCGAACACGUCCGUCGGGAAAUCCACGUGCUUAACGCGUGGGCGACCGGCGGAAACUGUUCGGCUUGGGGCCGGAGGACCCGAGGGGUACGUCCGGGGUAGGAGUGAAAUCCUGUAAUCCUGGACGGACCGCCGGUGGCGAAAGCGCCUCGGGAAGACGGACCCGACAGUGAGGGACGAAAGCCAGGGUCUCCAACCGGAUUAGAAACCCGUGUAGUCC